rnacentral:lncRNA from 1 species
GUGCAUUUCUUUCUAACACAAACGAUGCAAACGGCUAAGUGCGCACAUGUUUUGAUCAUUUCUUUCAAACAUACGUUUGCAAAGUUUACAUAAAUGCAAACGAUAAAAAUGCGUCUGCAAUUUGUCGUUUGUUAGUACAAACGCUACAUUUGUUUCUUACUUCAAUCUUAUUAAACAAAGUAUUUGUUUCUACGUUUGUAAAAAGUCUGUUUACCAACAGCAUGUGCAUGCAUUAUUGAAAGUUCAAACAGGGUCAGUAAAGACUUAUUAAACGAUGUAUUUGUUUCUAUUUUUGUAGCGUUUAGAAAACAACAACAAACGCGACACAACGUUUACAAAAUUUUGGUUAGAAAGAAAUGCGGCC